CUUUACUGUAGCCUGGAAUUGGGUUCGGGCUUUGCUUGCGCAGUAUAGGUGGGAGACGUUGAUACAGUCCUUGUGGGGACUGUGGAGUCAUCAGUGAGAUACCACUCUAGCAAGGCUAGAAUUCUAACCUUCAGCCGUUAUCCGGCGGAGGAACAGUUUCAGGUGGGCAGUUUGACUGGGGCGGUCGCCUCCUAAACGAUAACGGAGGCGCGCAAAGGUUCUCUCAGGCUGGUUGGAAAUCAGCCGUCGAGUGUAAAGGCAGAAGAGAGCUUGACUGCAAGAGCUACAACUCAAGCAGGGUGGAAACACGGCCUUAGUGAUCCGACGGUUCUGCGUGGAAGGGCCGUCGCUCAACGGAUAAAAGUUA
rnacentral:rRNA from 1 species